CCUACGGGAGGCAGCAGUGGGGAAUAUUGGGCAAUGGGCGCAAGCCUGACCCAGCAACGCCGCGUGAAGGAAGAAGGCUUUCGGGUUGUAAACUUCUUUUCUCAGGGACGAAGCAAGUGACGGUACCUGAGGAAUAAGCCACGGCUAACUACGUGCCAGCAGCCGCGGUCAUACGUAGGUGGCAAGCGUUAUCCGGAUUUACUGGGUGUAAAGGGCGUGUAGGCGGGAAAGCAAGUCAGAUGUGAAAACCAUGGGCUCAACCUGUGGCCUGCAUUUGAAACUGUUUGUCUUGAGUACUGGAGAGGCAGACGGAAUUCCUAGUGUAGCGGUGAAAUGCGUAGAUAUUAGGAGGAACACCAGUGGCGAAGGCAGUCUGCUGGACAGCAACUGACGCUGAGGCGCGAAAGCGUGGGGAGCAAACAGGAUUAGAUACCCCUGUAGUC
rnacentral:rRNA from 1 species